rnacentral:rRNA from 1 species
UACAGGGGGUGCAAACGUUGCUCGGAAUCAUUGGGCGUAAAGCGCACGUAGGCGGUCUGUUAUGUCGGAUGUGAAAGCCCUUGGCUCAACUGAGGAAGUGCAUCCGAAACUGGCAGGCUAGAGUACUAAAGAGGAUCGCGGAAUUCCCGGUGUAGAGGUGAAAUUCGUAGAUAUCGGGAGGAACACCGGUGGCGAAGGCGGCGAUCUGGGUAGAUACUGACGCUGAGGUGCGAAAGCGUGGGGAGCAAACAGGG